UACGUAGGGGGCAAGCGUUGUCCGGAUUUACUGGGCGUAAAGCGUGCGCAGGCGGCUUCUCAAGUCAGGGGUGAAAGCCCAGAGCUCAACUCUGGAAUUGCCUUUGAGACUGAGUGGCUUGAGUACGAGAGAGGUGAGUGGAAUUCCCAGUGUAGAGGUGAAAUUCGUAGAUAUUGGGAAGAACACCGGUGGCGAAGGCGGCUCACUGGCUCGUAACUGACGCUCAUGCACGACAGCGUGGGGAUCAAACAGG
rnacentral:rRNA from 1 species